rnacentral:rRNA from 1 species
AGGAAUAUUGGUCAAUGGACGCAAGUCUGAACCAGCCAUGCCGCGUGAAGGAUGAAGGUCCUCUGGAUUGUAAACUUCUUUUAUCUGGGACGAAAACGGGAUUUUUAUCUCAAUUGACGGUACCAGAGGAAUAAGCACCGGCUAACGCCGUGCCAGCAGCCGCGGUAAUACGGAGGGUGCGAGCGUUAUCCGGAUUUACUGGGUUUAAAGGGUGCGUAGGUGGGCUUAUAAGUCAGUGGUGAAAUCUCCGAGCUUAACUUGGAAACUGCCGUUGAUACUAUAGGUCUUGAAUUAUCUGGAGGUAAGCGGAAUAUGUCCUGUAGCGGUGAAAUGCUUAGAUAUGACAUAGAACACCAAUUGCGAAGGCAGCUUACUACAUAUAAAUUGACGCUGAGGCACGAAAGCGUGGGGAUCAAACA